CCAAAGGAAUUAUUAAAUUCCACCAACAUAGCAAAACACACUUUU
rfam:Felis catus isolate Cinnamon breed Abyssinian chromosome E3, whole genome shotgun sequence.